GGAAUUACUGGGCGUAAAGCGUGCGCAGGCGGUUGUGCAAGACAGAUGUGAAAUCCCCGGGCUCAACCUGGGAAUUGCAUUUGUGACUGCACAGCUAGAGUGUGUCAGAGGGGGGUAGAAUUCCACGUGUAGCAGUGAAAUGCGUAGAUAUGUGGAGGAAUACCGAUGGCGAAGGCAGCCCCCUGGGAUAACACUGACGCUCAUGCACGAAAGCGUGGGGAGCAAACAGGAUUAGAUACCCUGGUAGUCCACGCCCUAAACGAUGUCUACUAGUUGUCGGGUCUUAAUUGACUUGGUAACGCAGCUAACGCGUGAAGUAGACCGCCUGGGGAGUACGGUCGCAAGAUUAAAACUCAAAGGAAUUGACGG
rnacentral:rRNA from 1 species